rnacentral:misc_RNA from 1 species
GAUCAUUAACGCGCAGGCCGGAGGCUGGCCCCCCACGAUAGGGCCAAACGUCCGUCAGGGGUGAGCAGAUGUGCGCCGGCCGUACCGCCCCAUUCUUGUCUACCUUACUCGGUUGCCUCGGCGGGCCGCGCUCUCUCAGGAGAGCCGUUCGGCGAGCCUCUCUUUAGUGGCUCAACGCUGGACCGCGCCCGCCGGAGGACAGACGCAAAAAAAUUCUUUCAGAAGAGCUGUCAGUCUGAGCGUUAGCAAGCAAAAAUCAGUUAAAACUUUCAACAACGGAUCUCUUGGUUCCGGCAUCGAUGAAGAACGCAGCGAAAUGCGAUAAGUAAUGUGAAUUGCAGAAUUCCGUGAAUCAUCGAAUCUUUGAACGCACAUUGCGCCCCCUGGCAUUCCGGGGGGCAUGCCUGUUCGAGCGUCAUUUCAGCCCCUCAAGCCCGGCUUGUGUGAUGGACGACCGUCCGGCGCCCCCGUCUUUGGGGGUGCGGGACGCGCCCGAAAAGCAGUGGCCAGGCCGCGAUUCCGGCUUCCUAGGCGAAUGGGCAACAAACCAGCGCCUCCAGGACCGGCCGCCCUGGCCUCAAAAUCUGUUUUAUACUUAUCAGGUUGACCUCGGAUCAGGUAGG